rnacentral:rRNA from 1 species
GAUGAACGCUAGCGGGAGGCUUAACACAUGCAAGUCGAGGGGCAGCAUAGGGUAGCAAUACUCUGAUGGCGACCGGCAAACGGGUGAGUAACGCGUAUGCAACCUACCCUGUACAGGGGGAUAACCCGGAGAAAUUCGGACUAAUAUCCCGUAAUAAUAUCCGGAGGCAUCUUUGGAUAUUUAAAGUUUCGACGGUACGGGAUGGGCAUGCGUAACAUUAGCUGGUUGGUAAGGUAACGGCUUACCAAGGCUAUGAUGUUUAGGGGUCCUGAGAGGGUGGUCCCCCACACUGGUACUGAGACACGGGACCAGACUCCUACGGGAGGCAGCAGUGAGGAAUAUUGGUCAAUGGGCGCAAGCCUGAACCAGCCAUCCCGCGUGCAGGAAGACGGCCCUAGUGGGUUGUAAACUGUCUUUUCCAGGGAGAGAAACUUACGCACGUGUUGCGUGACUGACGGUACCCUGGGAAUAAGCAUCGGCUAACUCCGUGCCAGCAGCCGCGGUAAAAGUGUGUGUAC